rnacentral:rRNA from 1 species
UACGUAGGGGGCAAGCGUUGUCCGGAUUUAUUGGGCGUAAAGAGCGUGUAGGCGGCCACGUAGGUCUGCUGUGAAAACUCGAGGCUUAACCUCGAGCUGUCGGCGGAAACCAUGUGGCUAGAGUCCGGAAGAGGAGAGUGGAAUUCCCGGUGUAGCGGUGAAAUGCGCAGAUAUCGGGAAGAACACCCGUGGCGAAGGCGGUUCUCUGGGACGGUACUGACGCUGAGACGCGAAAGCGUGGGGAGCGAACAGG